GCCCAAGUGGCGGAAUGGGUAGACGCACAGGACUUAAAAUCCUGCGGUGGCAACACUGUGCCAGUUCGAGUCUGGCCUUGGGCA
rnacentral:tRNA from 1 species